UUUAUCUUUAAUUGCCAGCAUUCAGUUGGGCACUUUAAAGAGACUGCCGGUGUUAAACCGGAGGAAGGUGGGGAUGACGUCAAGUCCUCAUGGCCUUUAUGCUUAGGGCUACACACGUGCUACAAUGGGUGGUACAAAGAGAAGCCAACUCGCGAGAGCGCGCCAAUACUCAAAAAGCCAUCCUCAGUUCGGAUUGGAGUCUGCAACUCGACUCCAUGAAGUUGGAACCGCUAGUAAUCGCGGAUCAGCAUGCCGCGGUGAAUACGUUCCCGGGCCUU
rnacentral:rRNA from 1 species